rnacentral:rRNA from 1 species
GACGAACGCUGGCGGCGUGCUUAACACAUGCAAGUCGAACGGAAAGGCUCCAGCUUGCUGGCGUACUCGAGUGGCGAACGGGUGAGUAACACGUGGGUAAUCUGCCCUGCACUCUGGGAUAAGCCUGGGAAACUGGGUCUAAUACUGGAUAUGACCUUUCUCCUUAUGGGGUUGGGUGGAAAGUUUUUCGGUGUAGGAUGAGCCCGCGGCCUAUCAGCUUGUUGGUGGGGUGAUGGCCUACCAAGGCGACGACGGGUAGCCGGCCUGAGAGGGUGAUCGGCCACAUUGGGACUGAGAUACGGCCCAGACUCCUACGGGAGGCAGCAGUGGGGAAUAUUGCACAAUGGGCGGAAGCCUGAUGCAGCGACGCCGCGUGAGGGAUGACGGCCUUCGGGUUGUAAACCUCUUUCAGCAGGGACGAAGCGUAAGUGACGGUACCUGCAGAAGAAGCACCGGCUAACUAUGUG